UUCUCCGGGGAAACUGGAAGGUGCCCAACAGAGUCCAGAGUCCAGGAUGCUGUGCCCACCUGAGGCGCUGUUCUGAUAAAAUUGAUUCCUGUUCUCAUGGAGUUUUCAUUCUGAUGAAAUGACAGCUGACAAAUAACAGUUAAUAAAAGGUAAAAUGCAGUAAAGUUAAUCACGUAAUAUGGUAGAAAGUGAUGCAUGCUUUAGAAAGA
rnacentral:lncRNA from 1 species